AUAUUAAGAACAUUACCUUAAAGAUCAUCAUCUCAUAUUCAUCAAAUCAAUGGCGUUGAUGCAAAUUACAGAUGGUGCCAUUCCCGUUCAUCUCUAAACUCAGGGUCUAGUCGGAGACGGAGAUACAGACCGAUUGAUACUACCUUCACUCCUCGACGUCGAACACACAAACACAAGAAAACGCCGCACCGAAGAAUUUCGUCGGAGCCCUCGAUUUGCAGUUUCUUCUCUCUUCUGCACACAAACAAAUUCCCAAUUUUCAUUCGAGAUUCAACCCAUGUCGCAGGAUUCAGAGAAGAGAUUCCAUUCCAUCAUGGACAAGCUCUUUCAGAAUGCACAAUCCACUCCUAACUCAAAUUCCGCAUCUUCCCCCUCCUCCUCCUCCAGUCCAUCCGGAGUACAAUUGUCGAGAGGGAGAAAACGGCCUUAUUCUUCGUCUGCUUUGGUAGUGGGAGAGCUGAGAUCAAAAAGUGAUGUUAUUGAGGCAUUGCAGAAGCAUUCUUCAGCUUCUGUUGGAUCCUCUGAUGCUCCAUUGUGCAGGCCUUGGGACCGUGGAGAUCUUUUGAAAAGACUAGCCACAUUCAAGUCAAUGACAUGGUUUGGUAAACCUAAGGUAGUGAAUGCUAUAAAUUGUGCUAGAAGAGGUUGGGUCAAUGUAGAUACAGAUACUAUUGCCUGUGAAUCAUGUGGAGCACGUCUUCUUUUCUCUACCCCAUCUUCCUGGAAUCAGCAACAAGUUGAGAAGGCCGCUUUGGUAUUUAGCUUAAAGUUGGACAAUGGGCACAAGUUACUAUGUCCCUGGAUAGAUAAUGCCUGUGAUGAAGCAUUGGCUGAUUUUCCUCCUACCCCUCCUCCAGUUUUAGUUAAUAAAUUUAGGGAGCGUUAUUCAAUGUUACUACAGCUUUCAGCUCUCCCUGUUAUUUCGUCUUCAUUUCUCAAAUGGAUGAACAGUCCCCAUCUCAAGCAAUUUAUUGAAGAAUUAACCUGGGAAAAUUUUGGCAACGAGUCUCUUGACAAAUCUGAAAUGGAGUACCUUGGAGAUGGACAUGACUCAGAUACUCCUAAAGUAUAUUAUCAGGCUCUAAAGCUAAUUAGCUUGUUUGGAUGGGAACCCCGUUCACUGCCCUAUGUAGUUGACUGCAAGUCCGGAGCGUCAGAUCAAUCUCUCAAGAAAUCCACCACUUUUGAUUCACGCCCUACAGUCAGUCUCUUCACUACUACCACCAAAGAAAAUGUAGCUGGAAAUAGAAUUGCUGAGCUUUCAAGUGAAUUGCAAUCGCAGCCUAAUUCUGUUGUUUUGGAUUGCCGGCUUUGUGGAGCUAGUGUUGGAUUAUGGACUUUCCAUACUAUUCCUAGGCCUGUGGAAAUCAUCAGAUUGGUUGGAUCCACCGAAUUAAACAGUGAGUCAGGCACUCAUGAUUCAGGCAAUAAAAGUGUCAUCAAUCAUGCAGGUAUUGGUAAUGUUGGAAUAUCAAAAUUAACUUCAACAAUUGCAGGGGGGCCUACCCCUGCACGACAGAGUUUCAAGGCCACCAUCACUUUGCCUGUAAUUGGCCAAAGUUUAAGGGCUAGGCUAUUCAGUGAUGAAAAGUUUAGUGAUCAGGUGUAUAAUGACCAAGAAAUGGUCCAAGCUGAUUCCUCGGAUAAAAAAAUGUCACAAAACAGCAAAAGCAAUGAAGAUGCCAUCCCUACUGGAGAAACAGAUCAGCCAAAAGACGGAAGAUUGUUACAGAAUCAAACACUUGAUCCUGGAUGCGUUACUUCUGGUGAUGAUCAGACUCCUUUGUUGGAAGGUACGAGUGUUACUGAUCAUGGAACCUUACCUCAAUCUAGUUUGAAUGGUUCAACUGAAGAAACUAAAGUAAAGAGCACAGAGUGUGUUCCUGCGCAGAAAAUUGAAGUGUCGGAGAAUGCUGAGAAUUCAAUACAGUCGGAUUCUGGUAAUAAAGUAGCAGAUCUCCAUCCCCUAACUUCUCCAGCCGAAAAUCCUUUGACGUCAACAGAUGCUGCUAUGAUCACAAGUACUGAAUGCAGUGAAAAGGAGUUGCCUUCUGAUGUCUCUGACCAAUGUGAUAAUUCAAAUAGCAAAGAGAUUUCAUUGGCCGACUCACAGAUGACCUCAUGCAAAUCUUCACGCCUUGAAGAUGAUACAAGUACCGAUAUUGCUGGUGUGGAAGAAUCAAUGAAAGACAAACUUGGUUCUGAUAACCACACCACUUUAGAAAACCAGGCCCGUGAAGGAGGUGGCUCCAAUGACAAAGUGCAUACCUCAAUGAACAGCAUGCAUCUUGCCCAUGGUGGAGGUACCAUUUAUCAAAUCCUCUUAAUCCUUCUCUUUCCACGAAUGGUGCAGCAUAUUUAUAGAUUCACUAGUUAUCAUAGCCUUAGAGGAUUAUUCCAAGGGUGUAGAGUUCGAUCCAAUCAGGCAGCACAGAUACUUUUGCCCGUGGAUUGCCACAGGAAAUGUCGCACCUGGAUGGAAACAAACCCUAACUGCUCUACAGCGUGAAAAAGGCUCUUCACCACAUUCACCUAAGAACUCUCCAUCAGCGUCCCUCAUUAAGGUCAAUGACCCCGUUACAUCGGUUCGAAAUCUAUUCACGUCUUCUGCGAAGAAAUUGAAAAGCAGUCUAGUUUCUAACGAAAGAACCAAGCACUAGACACUGCUUUCAGUUACAUAUUAACCUGACAGAGCUUCCAGGAUUGAGUUUCUGCCUCUUCUAAGGUAUUAUGAGAUACACACCCUUUGAAGAAGGGUUUUUCAUGUCAUGCCGUUCCCUAUUGAGUAAAUUCUCAAAUGAAUACAUAUGUUGUCAUAUCAUUAUCUAUUUGUUCUCAAAAUAGUUAUUAUGGGGUUUUGUAAUACUAAAGUAAUUUUGACUCGGCCUCUAUUGGUAGCUUGCAAUUUUUGGAACUUAGUUUGAGGUUAAGAUUGACGAGUGUGGUCGGGGCUAUUAAUUUAGAUUGUUAUCGAAACAUAGUCAUUAAUUUGUAAGGUCACGAUUUUGAGUAUUACCAAUCUGAUUAUAACUAAAUGGUAAUUGACAUGCACACAUUCCCCUUCUA